UUUCCGUAGGUGAACCUGCGGAAGGAUCAUUACUGAGUGAGGGCCCCUCGGGGUCCAACCUCCCACCCGUGUUUUACGAACCUUGUUGCUUCGGCGGGCCCGCCUCACGGCCGCCGAGGGGCAUCUCUCCCCGGGACCGGGCGAGCCAAAGCCACCUGUGAACGCUGUUUGAAGUAUGCAGUCUGAGACAAUUAUUAAUUUAAUUAAAACUUUCAACAACGGAUCUCUUGGUUCCG
rnacentral:misc_RNA from 1 species